GCUGGGAUUAAAGGCAUGCGCCACCAUGCCCCGAUUCUACCACAGUUUCUGUGGUAUCAGGAUGGAACCCAAGGCUUCAAGUGAGCUACCUAAGCACUCUGCUGACCACCCGAUUCCCAGGCACGCCCAGGCCAAGUCCUCCCAGAAGAAUGAGGGGGUUUGGAGUUAGAGUGGGGGAGGGUCACUCACCUGCACACACUGUUGCUUGGAUCUCACAUCCUCCAAUGCUUUGGUUGCCCCAUUGAUGUGGCUGUGCAUGAUAGUGAGUUUAUUCCUCAGUUUGUACUGUAGAGAAAACACAUAGGGUGAGAGAGCCCCUCCUUAGCCUAUGUCCUAGCCCCUCCCCCACAUUGAGGACCAUUCCCUCCCUAACUCCGCUGCCCCUUCAGGAAGACAAUACAAGACUUGGAACCAGCUGGGCGUGGUGGCCCACACCUUUAAUCCUAGCACUUUGGAGGCAGAGGCAGGUGGAUUUCUGAGUUUGAGGCCAGCCUGGUCUACAGAGUGAGUUCCAGGACAGCCGAAGCUAUAUAGAGAGACCCUGUCUCGAAAAACCAAAAAAAAAAAAAAAAAAAAAAAAAGACUUGGAACCAAAAUGACCCUGUUUGUUUGAAAGCCUGUUCCCAGCCAUAUGUCUUCUGUCUCUUUCUUUGGCCAUGAACAGAAACCACUGGUUUGGUUAAGCAGCUACAGGGACAAUCAGGAAGACUAACCAAGGACUGUGCUCAGAGCCCUGCCUGGAGGAUCUGUCAAUACU
rnacentral:lncRNA from 1 species